GACAGCGAGAUCAUGACCUGAGCUGGAGUCAGCCGCCCAACCGACUGAGCCACCCAGGCACCCCCGAUGUAGUUAAUUUUAAAAUGUGUUUCCUGUGGCAAAGAUCCUGGAAUUAAAGAGUGACGUUUACUCUCUCAUCCACACCAGAGUUCCUCAAAUAUCCAGCUCUCCUAUCUCUCAUUGGUUUCUUCUCCUCCCACUGGCACAGCGAUCCUUUCAUCCCGGGAAGCUAUCCGCUCAGAUGAAUCGUAAAAGGCUGGCUGGGACCACGGGGCAGGCUGGGGCCACGGAGGAGGCUGCGCUGGGCCAGCUGUGGGACUCGACACUGCUCUGGG